rnacentral:lncRNA from 1 species
AGUGUUGAAAAAAUUUAAAAAUCCAGGUUAAACUUGUUCAGUUCUUCAACUGAUAUUCUUUGAAGUCCUGGAGUGGGUUAUAGGGAUUUGUGGGAGAACCCAACAGUCAAGGAAAAUUUUGGAUCUCAUGGAGGUUACAUUUAAGACUGAGUCAUUCAGUGCAAGUAAUCUUUGAAGCCUUAUGAGUGAAUGAAGUGACAUAGGGAUUGCAUAUAGGGUAAGUGUAUUGGCUUUUCAUUGCUGUUACAAAAUACCUGACAAAAAUGACUUAGAAGAGGAAAGGUUCAUUUUAUUUUGCCUCACCAUUUCAGAGGAUUCAGUUCAUGGUUGACCAGCUCCAUUGUUCUGGGCCUGAGGUGGGGCAGAAGGGGACAGCCGAGGAAACUUUCAGCUCAUGAUAACUGGGAAGAAGAUGUAAAAUCUUCUAGGUCCCACCUCCAAUUAGGUCCCACCUCCCAGUGGUCCAUUCAGCCUCAACAGAUUAAUCUCCUGAUGAGGUCAGAGCCCUUAUGACUCAAUCACUUCCCCAAAGCUCCUCCUCUGCCUACAUGGGACUUCCUGGGACAUUCCAGAUCCAACCAUAACAUGAAAGGGUAACUUACUUCUGCAUCACAAUUUCCUCAUCUGUAAUUGUUGAGAUGAAAGGAAUUAUUACACGUAAAACAUUUAGAACAACCCUCACACUCAAUGGUGAGCAGAAGGUUCUGGGCUAAGCCAGGCAGGGUGGUGCAAGCCUGUCAUCCUAGAGAUUCUGGAUACUGAGGCAGGAGGAUGGCAAGUUCAAGGUCAGCUUAGUGGGCAAUUUAGUGAGACUCUGUCUCAAAACAAAAUAUAAAAGGGGCUGGGGAUGUAGCUCAGUAACAGAGAGCUCUUGGGUUCAAUCCCCAGUACUCCCCCCCCCGGAAAAAAAUCGGUCUUUCAACCAAUAUUCUUUGAAGUCCUGCGCAGGCCAUAGGGAUUGUGGGAGAACUGAGGAGGACAGCCACCGUGCAGUGCUGUGUGGAUGCUGAUGAUGUCAAUAAGGAAGACCCUGGGAAGGGCAGGGAAACUGGAACAGAGAGCCAGGCAUCCAUUUAAUCUGUCCCCUGGAAAGAGGACUGUGUCUAUCACAAAGGUAAAGGUUAUGCCUGGGGCAGGACACGAGGCUUCCUACAGAAGAACUCCAAGUCACUUUGGUAGGACUCCUCCUCUCAGGGAGGGGAGCUUCAGACCCCUCACCUGCACUCACCUGCUUGGAGCAUGGCCAGAGUGCUAAGCAGGGACUUGCUUCCAAAGAGUACCGCACAGAAAAGGGACAAAAGUGACCUUUAUGGGGAGCCAUCUGGCACCUCCUCCCUGGCGAGUGGUCAGGUCAACAUCGACAGUGGAAAGGGAUGUUGAUGGCAGGCGCCUCCACGUGGGUGAUGAAAGAUGCCCUUCAGCUCUGGGCUCUGCCUCCCCAGACCACUGUCCAGCCCCGUCCUGAGAAAGCACCGCACAAUCCCAGGGAGCACAGUCCACCCGGCUCCUGCUCAGGAAGCCUCACAGCCCAGAGGAGACAAGGAGAUGAGGGGACCCAGAGCAGCGUGGGCUCCUGGAUUAGACCCCGACCUCAACGGGAGGGACUGGUGAAACCCAAAUAAAGACCGGGGUCCAGUUAACAAUACUGCACCAACAUGGGCAUCUUGCUUUUGAUAGAUGCAUAUGCUAAUGUAAGAUUGACAGCUCGGGAAACUAG